rnacentral:miRNA from 1 species
UUUCCGACUCGCACUCAUGCCGU